AUAUAAAGGAUUAGAAACCGAUUUCAACUCCUGUUCAAUCUCCUAGUCAAAUUGGUAACGGUACUAGUUCCUUGCUCAUUCAUGUUACUUCCUGUUGAUGUAGCUUGAUUAUGGGAAUUUCAUAUAUGAUCAUAGAGAUAUUUCAUAUUUAUCUUGAGGAUUUGUAUCUAUUAGAGGGGGACACUUUACAAUUUUCCUAGGG
rnacentral:lncRNA from 1 species